GUGGGCUUAGCUCAGUGGUAGAGCACGGGAUUCCAAACCCCGGUGUCGGUGGUUCGAUUCCAUCAGCCUAUGC
rnacentral:tRNA from 1 species